CACAAUGAAGCUUGAAACCAGUCAAGCAUUUUUUAUUAAAAAAAAAAAAGUCUAAUGGUAAGGUAUAUAGUCUAUACAUGCUACAGCUAAUUCACUGUUCACCACCCCUCCCCCUCACAUGAUAUAGCCUCAUGUAAUUUGUGUGUGUGUGUGUGUGUGUGUGUGUGUGUUAAAAGGAAACAAAAAACACCACCAGAAUCUGUCAGCUUGCCAAGGGCAGUGAAAGGGGUGCUGCUAUUAACAGUUAUGUGGGCACAGUGGCACCGAGAGGCUUACACUGGGGUAAGGCUUACACGGGGUACCUUGGUUGUCAUAAAGCUUGUUGCUGUCAUAAGCCUGGUGGGGGCACCUCCUUUUGUAUGUUUAUAGAAGACCGGAGAUUCAAGGUUACCGGCUUGGCACUGGGUUUAGCCUCUUCAAGGACAAUAAAGGUUUGAAGCCCUUGUCCCUGACUGGAGCCUGCUUUGGAGUAGAAGACAAAAACGGGGAAGGUGGAACAUCAAAAUACGGUGGAACAGCUUGAGAACUCGGCAGGGUAGCACCAGAAAGCAGACUCUGCCCCCCGGGCCUGGACAGUCACGUCUACGAGGAGGGUGCAGGAGCACAGACUCGGGAGCCUCCUGGUUUUAACUCUGCAGCCUCACAACUCUGUCGGUGACCUUCGUAGACUGAGGUCCAUCUAGACAUUAGACCCUUAGCCAACUUAGGAGCGAUUCCUCCCUGCACCCUCAGGCCUCAGGGCAAAGCCAGCUUCCUAGGCAUUCAGGCCACACGGGUGGACAACAGGUCAUCUUUGGUCUAUGGUGUGGGAUGGCUGUUUGCAGCGCAAGCCCUGAAGGAUGGGCCUGGACAGCCCAGGAGGAGACAAGACUGCCUCUUGUGACGCAGGCUGUUGUGUGUUCAUGGUACGGCCCAAUGUGAAGGGUGAGACCUCCCGGGGAGCAGCCUGAGCCAACAUCUAAAAGACGCAGGCACGACGAGAGGACGGCAGCCAAGCUACGAAUGUUCUCGUUCUUGAUGAUGUCCAGUUGCCAGCUUUGUGAGGGCAGGAGCGAUUUCUUCUUCAUCCCACUCAGGGCUGCGUACUCGGUACAGACUGAAUAAAUUCUAGACGGUCCGUCCCUUAGCCUAAGCACAGGGCCUUCCAAAUCUUGGGGAGACUUGGCAUCUGUUCUUUAAAGUGGCAAGUUUGUUUUCCUACAGUCUACCUGGUAAGGAAAUCCCCAGUGGGCCCAGACAUGUUUUAAGGCCAAGGAAUUUGCUUAAGAAAUCAGUCACAUAGACAGGUCUGGUGGAGGUCAGGUAACAUCGCUAUGGGAAGCCUGGUAGGACUCCAGCAAUUUCCCCGGGGAGGGCAGAGGCAUUAACAGUGGUUUGGGCUGCAGUCCAGCUGUCCCCAAGCCUCAUCCUGGGACACGGACAGAAACCCACCAAACGACAAAGAAAUUCUAAGUAAAAAACUUGAGCAAAGGCCUGUGUUCUCAAGCAGUGGUCCUAAAACUCAGAUUUUCUAAAGAUUUGGUUGCUACCACUAGGGGCAGUUUUGCCCUUGGAUAUAAGAUAAAAGAGCCAUCCCAAGGGAGUAUGGAGGGGUGAGAAACAGAAGAAAAGCCACCCUUGCCUGGCUUUGGGGGCUGGCAUUUGGCCUGUGACCUACUAAUGUGUGAUCGUGGGGUGAGGGGAGAAAACCCUACAUGAAAAGGGAGGGUCACCUGCUUCCCUCAAAGUGCCUUGGACACUUGGCAGCUGAUGGCAGAGGAAAAGUCAUGAGCACUGGGGAGAAAAACUCCCGGACUUGAGUCUCAGCUUGGUCGCUCUCUGGAUGAAGCUGAGCAGGUGAUUUCAUCCUCUGGACCACAAUUUUCUCACUACAGAUCGGGGCAGAGCUUAUGCACCUCCCAGGGCUGAAGUGACAAUUAAGUUCAAGGAAGGGGCAUGUUUAAGCACCGGGAACCUGCCCGGAGCUUGGCAGAGGGGUUAUUCCUAUGGCCCUGGACAUUUGGUGUGGCGGUAACUCCAGGGGGGUUUGCAUGUGCAAACAAAAGCUCACAGAAUCGAGGCAAAAGUCCUGGAUGGUGUAAAGCGAAGUCCCCAGGUGGGGACAGCUAGUGAGAGCCACUGGCCAUCAAGACCGUCCCUUGCAGCUGCCUGGGGAAGGGCCAUUGCUGUGGCACAAGGAGCUGGAGAAAGGAAUCCUCAGGACACAGAGGUGCCCUGCGGAAGCAACGGUGAACACAGAGAAAUGUGGCUUUAGUACCUUCAGUUCAUGUCAGAACCAUCAUCAUCAUCAAAAGGCGGAUUCUUUCAUUUGCAGGAAAAGCUUUCUGCCCAGAGAAAGGCAGAACCAGCCCAUUCCCACCCAGCCGUCCCCUGGGAGGAAGGGAAUGAGGCCAGCGACAACCCCCUUCCAUGGAAUCUGCACACAACGACCCAGUCUCU
rnacentral:lncRNA from 1 species